UUGGGCGAGCAGACGAGAUCUCCCUGCAGCUACUCGCUGAGAGGCAGAGCCAGAAACUUCAGGAUUUAGAGAGUUUCAGAGUUAACUUUAGAAAACUAAGUGCUAACUUCAGUUCUAUUAAAGCUAGGAAGCUUAACUAGGCUAGUUUAGCCACUUAAAACCGACGUUGAGUGACUUAACUGACCGCCGCACGUCGGAGCCGAGUUGCCGCGCGCGGGUUGCCAGAUUGGCGGGAAUUCAACACCCGGAUUGGAUUUGGUCAGUUUUGAGUGGAUGAAAAUUUGCUGAUAGAGAUCUGCUGCCUGGCUACAAGAACCCCAGUCGUGCUGGAGAAGAGAUGGCGAGCCAAAGUCUGGUGGAACUUAGUUUCUGAGCUUUGAACCUUGAGUAUAUAUAUUUUUUUCACCCACGUGGACUGUUUUUUUUUUUCC